CACGCAGGCGGUCUUAUCAGUCAGAUGUGAAAGCCCGGGGCUCAACCCCGGACGUGCAUUUGAAACAGUAAGACUUGAGUACGGGAGAGGAAAGCGGAAUUCCUGGUGUAGAGGUGAAAUUCGUAGAUAUCAGGAGGAACACCGGUGGCGAAGGCGGCUUUCUGGACCGAUACUGACGCUGAGGUGCGAAGGCGUGGGGAGCGAACAGGAUUAGAUACCCUGGUAGUCC
rnacentral:rRNA from 1 species